rnacentral:rRNA from 1 species
GGGUCAGUAGGUUGGUCGUGCCACCGGUACGUACUGGUCUCACUGAUUCCUCCUUCCUGAAGAACCGUAAUGCCAUUAAUUUGGUGUUGCGGGGAAACAGGACUGUUACUUUGAAAAAAUUAGAGUGUUUAAAGCAAGCUAACGCUUGAAUACACUAGCAUGGAAUAAUGAAAUAGGACGAUCGAUCCUAUUUUGUUGGCUUCUAGGAUUGACGUA